rnacentral:rRNA from 1 species
AAAUUGAAGAGUUUGAUCAUGGCUCAGAUUGAACGCUGGCGGCAGGCCUAACACAUGCAAGUCGAACGGUAACAGGAAGCAGCUUGCUGCUUCGCUGACGAGUGGCGGACGGGUGAGUAAUGUCUGGGAAACUGCCUGAUGGAGGGGGAUAACUACUGGAAACGGUGGCUAAUACCGCAUAACGUCGCAAGACCAAAGAGGGGGACCUUCGGGCCUCUUGCCAUCAGAUGUGCCCAGAUGGGAUUAGCUGGUUGGUGAGGUAACGGCUCACCAAGGCGACGAUCCCUAGCUGGUCUGAGAGGAUGACCAGCCACACUGGAACUGAGACACGGUCCAGACUCCUACGGGAGGCAGCAGUGGGGAAUAUUGCACAAUGGGCGCAAGCCUGAUGCAGCCAUGCCGCGUGUAUGAAGAAGGCCUUCGGGUUGUAAAGUACUUUCAGCGGGGAGGAAGGUGUUGUGGUUAAUAACCACAGCAAUUGACGUUACCCGCAGAAGAAGCACCGGCUAACUCCGUGCCAGCAGCCGCGGUAAUACGGAGGGUGCAAGCGUUAAUCGGAAUUACUGGGCGUAAAGCGCACGCAGGCGGUCUGUCAAGUCGGAUGUGAAAUCCCCGGGCUCAACCUGGGAACUGCAUUCGAAACUGGCAGGCUUGAGUCUUGUAGAGGGGGGUAGAAUUCCAGGUGUAGCGGUGAAAUGCGUAGAGAUCUGGAGGAAUACCGGUGGCGAAGGCGGCCCCCUGGACAAAGACUGACGCUCAGGUGCGAAAGCGUGGGGAGCAAACAGGAUUAGAUACCCUGGUAGUCCACGCCGUAAACGAUGUCUACUUGGAGGUUGUGCCCUUGAGGCGUGGCUUCCGGAGCUAACGCGUUAAGUAGACCGCCUGGGGAGUACGGCCGCAAGGUUAAAACUCAAAUGAAUUGACGGGGGCCCGCACAAGCGGUGGAGCAUGUGGUUUAAUUCGAUGCAACGCGAAGAACCUUACCUGGUCUUGACAUCCACAGAAGAAUCCAGAGAUGGAUUUGUGCCUUCGGGAACUGUGAGACAGGUGCUGCAUGGCUGUCGUCAGCUCGUGUUGUGAAAUGUUGGGUUAAGUCCCGCAACGAGCGCAACCCUUAUCCUUUGUUGCCAGCGGUUAGGCCGGGAACUCAAAGGAGACUGCCAGUGAUAAACUGGAGGAAGGUGGGGAUGACGUCAAGUCAUCAUGGCCCUUACGACCAGGGCUACACACGUGCUACAAUGGCGCAUACAAAGAGAAGCGACCUCGCGAGAGCAAGCGGACCUCAUAAAGUGCGUCGUAGUCCGGAUUGGAGUCUGCAACUCGACUCCAUGAAGUCGGAAUCGCUAGUAAUCGUGGAUCAGAAUGCCACGGUGAAUACGUUCCCGGGCCUUGUACACACCGCCCGUCACACCAUGGGAGUGGGUUGCAAAAGAAGUAGGUAGCUUAACCUUCGGGAGGGCGCUUACCACUUUGUGAUUCAUGACUGGGGUGAAGUCGUAACAAGGUAACCGUAGGGGAACCUGCGGUUGGAUCACCUCCUUACCUUAAAGAA